UUGCGCAGUGCAUCCAGGUCACUUGCCUUCCCCCCCAUGCCUCUGCCUCCAUCUGCUGCCAGUGCCACUGCACGAAGAUGAGCCUCCCACAUGUCUCCCUCCUGCCUCUGCCUGCACCUGCUGCUUGGACAGCCUUCCCAUGGUCACCUGAUCAAAAUUUGGACGUUUGGCAGCUGGCAUGUAAGCACUGGGGAACUAUCAGAUGAUUGGAAAAGAGCUGAUGUGGUUCCCAUCUUCAAAAAAGAAAAAAAAAUGGAUCCAAGAAACUACAAUUCUAUCGGCCUGACAUCAAUAUGUGGGAAGAUCCUGGAAAAGAUAAUCAAGCAAUGAACCUGUGAACACCUAGAGGCAAACAAUGUUAUAACCAGAAGCCAACGUGGCUUUGUUAAAAAACAGAUCAUACCAGACAAAUCUUAUUGCAUUCUUUGAUAAUCUGACUAAAUUAGUGGAUCAACUAAA